ensembl:lncRNA
GUGGAGGUAGUCGCGUGCUGGCAGGAGAAAAGAGACUGAAGCUUUCGAGCUGGAGAAAGUAUUAGAUAUAAGUUGCAACCAACUAUGCUGCACAUAGGUUCGCUGAUUAUCAGCUACCUUCCAUGUUAAGAGUAGCCACAGUGAGUAAACAGGCGAAUGCUGCAGUUUUCUGGCGACUUUAGAAAGUACUGUGGAGCUAAACUGUUAGCCUUUGUUAGCUCGGGUUGCUAUCAAACCCUUAAAGUUUCUCAAUCUGCUUCCAGAAGCAAGGUAACACUUGAAGCACAACUUGUGUUUAUUUUCCUUCACGUCGUGUUACUGUUAUUAAAGAGAAAAACAACAUGUCCUGUUACGUUAUUUAGAGCCCCGCAUUUUCCGACCGAGACACGAUACCAUUGUCUUCGGCCGUGAUGCACUGAGAUCCAUGAGCACAUGUCAGGGGGUUUUUUUUGUUCCUGAGGUGGAUUCCUCCGGUGAAAUAGAUGGCGAGCCUUCCAACCUGGACUUAGAGAGACUGAGAUUCGCUUCUUUUCCACGAUCUGCUGCACCUUGCGGUGUGGUAGGACUGUAUCACUCACACUUUCACACACAGCUGGUUAUACAUAAGACCACCGACUGACAUUCUCUCACCCCUAUUUUCUUUCACACCUUGGGAAUUUUUUGGACUUUACCCCUUGGACAUUUUUUAUUUGGGACUUUAAAUAAUAAGCUGUUGUGUAGAAUAUUAUCCACAUGUGAAAAGAGUGUGAGAUUUUCACCUGAUUGUACUUUAGAUUCGUGUAAUCUGUUUCUAUAAGACUUAAGGAGUCAGGUUACUAGGGUGCACCCGAACAUUGAAACCCGAAUGUUGAAACCGAACAUUGAAAACCAAAAGUAACACUUGGCCAAGUCAUUGUUUUAAUAGUUUAUGUGUUUUACUUUUCUUUCAUUUUUUUUAAGUUUCCUUUCUACCAUUGUAAAGUGUCUUUAACCUGUGACAACCUUAUAGUGUAUUUCACUAAAGUUUU